GGAGCGGAGAGAUCACCCUUGCUCUACUGCUGGCCUCCGGGACCCUCAUAGCAAAGGCCUGUUUCCCUUGAUCAGUCCGCCUGUGUCCACUCCCCCACGUGGUCUGUACACUCGUUCACUCAGUGAGGCACGAUUUAAUGCCCUUCGCCGGGAGUAUCAGGAGUACCGUCGUACCCAGGAGUCCAUCUGUUCCCGAGAUCCUUGCCUCUCCCCUGACCCUGACCUCGACCCCAGUUCCAACACUGCACUGCUCUGACAGCCAAAAUAUGCUGAACCUUCCAAAGGAGGGGGCAAAUAGUAUUGGAUUCAUCUUUUCACAAGAACAAACUUUCAGGAUGAAAAGUGAUUGGAUGUUAGUUGACCAUGAAGCCUGUUGAUUGGACAGUUCAAAAACUAGUAUACUAGAUGACAACACUGGAAACUUCAUGGAUAGCAUGAGACUUCUGUCCAUAUU